rnacentral:rRNA from 1 species
AUUGAACGCUGGCGGCAUGCCUAACACAUGCAAGUCGAACGGCAGCGCGGGCUUCGGCCUGGCGGCGAGUGGCGGACGGGUGAGGAAUACAUAGGAAUCUGCCCAGUCGUGGGGGAUAACCCGGGGAAACCCGGACUAAUACCGCAUACGACGGUGACGUGAAAGCAGGGGACCUUCGGGCCUUGCGCGAUUGGAUGAGCCUAUGUCGGAUUAGCUAGUUGGCGGGGUAAAGGCCCACCAAGGCGACGAUCCGUAGCUGGUCUGAGAGGAUGAUCAGCCACACUGGGACUGAGACACGGCCCAGACUCCUACGGGAGGCAGCAGUGGGGAAUAUUGGACAGUGGGCGCAAGCCUGAUCCAGCAAUGCCGCGUGGGUGAAGAAGGCCUCGGUU